rnacentral:rRNA from 1 species
GACGAAAGCUGGCGGCGUGCUUAACACAUGCAAGUCGAACGGAAAGGCCCUGCUUUUGUGGGGUGCUCGAGUGGCGAACGGGUGAGUAACACGUGAGUAACCUGCCCUUGACUUUGGGAUAACUUCAGGAAACUGGGGCUAAUACCGGAUAGGAGCUCCUGCUGCAUGGUGGGGGUUGGAAAGUUUCGGCGGUUGGGGAUGGACUCGCGGCUUAUCAGCUUGUUGGUGGGGUAGUGGCUUACCAAGGCUUUGACGGGUAGCCGGCCUGAGAGGGUGACCGGCCACAGUGGGACUGAGAUACGGCCCAGACUCCUACGGGAGGCAGGAGUGGGGAAUAUUGCACAAUGGGCGGAAGCCUGAUGCAGCAACGCCGCGUGCGGGAUGACGGCCUUCGGGUUGUAAACCGCUUGCGCCUGUGACGAAGCGUGAGUGACGGUAAUGGGUAAAGAAGCACCGGCUAACUACGU